GCCCUCUUCUUUCUUCUCUUCUUUCCUUAUAGAUUCUCACCUGCUUCUAUUUGCACAUAUCACAUGUGAUUCUGUUACAGUAGCUGGCACCUUUGCAUUUCUCUCUUCCCGACCAUUGUGCCCACAAAACUUUAGCUGAUCUUCUAGAGAAUUCUGCCUCAAUUCCAGAACCUUGGGCUUGGGCCACUUCCUUUCAUCUAUCCCUAUCAGAUUCAGAUAUCUCUGUGUACUCAAUGUAAUUUGUCCAACGUUUAAUCUUGACUUGGUUUGGGUUAGUCAUAUGAAUCCUUUUCCUCCAUUCCAAUUGGGUUGGGCUACAUAUGCAGAAAUUUCUACAGCUAGUAAAUUUCACGGCUUUAUCUCAUGUCAUCCUAAAUCUACCCUUUAUUUUCUUCACUCCUACAACUGCUAACAUUCCUAGCCUUGUGUACAUGUGCAUUUGGAGGGCUUUCUGUAAACAUUUGAUGAGGCUACUUCUGAUAAU
rnacentral:misc_RNA from 1 species